GCUACCCCCCUCCAACCCUUCCACGUCCUCCCCGGUUCUGGCGGGCCGGCCUAGCGCCAGAAGCCUGCGCUGCCCACCCUGCAAAAUGGCGACGGCAGUCCUUGGCUGUACUAGUGUGCCCCCACGUAAGAUCCUGUGUGGCGGAUGUGAGUACCCCCACUUUGGAGACCAGACAACAGUCCAGAAGAGAUGAAGCAAGGUGCCCAAAUGGAAGAAGUGGUAAGGCAGGGUUCUCUAGCUCAAAGUCCAGUGUUAACAGCCCUCUAAACGAGUGUGGAGGGUUAUGUGUGAGUCCAGUCUCUGAGGCAGUGCAGUUCCUAAUCUUUAACGUUGCUAAGAACGUUCUGACCUGUGAAGAAACCAUAUGACUUAAAUACAUAGAUCUCAAUUAAGAUUCUUUGGGAGUGAGCCUGAAAAUUAGCAUUCUAAACAAGCUACACCUGGACAAACUGAGGAUGCCCCCCCCCCCCAUCCCCUGGGCAUUGGUGCAUUUUUUUUAAGGAAUCCCCUAAUUAUCUUGUUCACAUCAACAGGUUAAAAAAUUUAAUACUGGAAGGAAUAAAAAUAGUGACAGCAGUGCCCCACCCCCUAUUCUCCAAAUACAAUCUAGUUGGGAUGAUAAACUAUAAUACAUGUGAAUCAACUAUUAACAGUAUCAUAAUUCUAAAUUUGGAGAAAUCAGUGUAACUGAUACGUGAAUGCCACCAAGCUGUUCCCCACCCUCAACUGAAGAAGAAUCUUCACCAGUCUGGUUCUUGGAUCUUUUGAGAUGCAGAGUAUGACCAAUUGCUAGAGGAAAUCUUGACACUUAGAAGGAAAUAUUUGUAAAGAACUGAGAAAAGGCAGGGAGGACUAUGAUAGGAAAAGAUAGGAUUCAGUAGGCCGAGAGGGAAAGAUUGGGAACUGAGGUCCCUGAGUGGAGAAAAACACCUAUUUUGGAACAAUGCUGGGAAUGUCAGACCACAGCAAACCCCCUCAGGCAUAAGGUCCCUCUUAAGAAUUAAUGGACACCACCUACUUCCCCUCAGGUUCCCUUCAGGAAUUUGACUAAAGACCUGACUAAAUAUAAGUAGACCAUAAAACAAAUGACCCACAUGGAACAGUAUGGCCAUAGACCACCUACAAUGGAAACAAGCCAAUCAGUAAUGGGCAGCCCCGCACCUAGAGCUAUCAAGCCAAUAAGGGUAGGAUGUGAGAAGAAACAAGGUGGAAGGGAAGGGGGGGCAGCCAAAACCUUAUAAAACAAAGACCCUUGCCUAUUGUCACCGGCAUUCACUUUAGAAUGCCCCCACUUCCCCCUCUCUGUUAAAAGAGCUUUCAUACUAUUUUUCCUUUCUCAUCUUACACUCUAAUAAACUUUUGCCUGCUGCUCA